rnacentral:tRNA from 1 species
ACUUAGGUAGUUUAAUAGAAAAUUUUGAUUUGUGGUGUCAAUGAUAUGAGAUUACACUCAUCUUAGGUC